GUGGAACUCUGUGAUCACUGUAUUUUUGGACAGAUGAGAAGGAAUCUUGGAUAUUUGCUGCAUGAACUCUACAUUCCUGAACCCAAAGUCUAUUUCUGGCUCUUCAGAUUGUUCCAAAGUGGCUGUGUCUCAUUGGAGAAAGCAGGGAAAAGACCAUUGAUGGGGAGGCUCUGGUGGGUACAGAGAGGAAGACCUGUGGUCUCCUGAAGGCUGUCUGCUUCCGCAAUGUGCAUCCUAUGGGAUUCUGCGUCAGCCAGACAGUAUUAUCCAUCACAAUAACUUAAUAACUUUGCAUGCUUAACGUCCUCCCAUGGACCAAGCUCUGCUCUGCAGCCUGCCUCCACCAGGGAUUCUUUGGGAUAGCUUCAUUCAGAGAGGCAAAGGAAGAACUGUGGCUCCAGCUCAUCUCUUCAUGCAACACGGGCUAUUGCACAGCUACCAGGCUGGCUCUCUGGCUAACUGUAGAGAACUGUGGAGAGUGGGGACAAGUGAGGGGAUAACACAAAACUUAACACCUGUUCCAGGAAGCAGGCACAGGAGAGAGCAGGGCAUGACAACCUGGGAGCGGCUAGGGGCAGGCAGGCACCAGAUCCAGAGGGAAGCAGCAGAGAGGGAAGGGUGUAUGCGUUUGAACAUUAAAUCAUGUUAACCUCCCGUCUCCAAGAUGCUAAACAUCUGGCUGAAACAAGAGCAGCGUAAGAGAACAUCUGGAUACUCACUCUGCACAGUGUGGAGCAGCUGUAUGCUUGGCAGCAUCUGUGUGAGUAAGUGAUGGGGGUCUCCUCUGUGGGUUUAACAUCACAUUUGUGCUUUUCUUUGCCUUGUAACCUAAAACCAGACCCAAACUGGUUUAAAUUUUAAAAGGAAAAUGCUUAGCUUACUGGACUGAGGCGCCCCAAGAUGAGGUAGGCUCCAGGUAGGUAUUAAUCAAGCCUCUGAAUGGAAUCCCCAAAGACUGUGCCGCUUUGUUUCCCGCUAUUUCCUUUACCCCCAAACAAGGUCCCCUGGGAGGUCCCAAGGGGCUGCCUGAAGCUUACAAUCGUUCAUAUCCGAAAAAUAGGAUAUCUGUACCAUUUGUCUGCCUGUGAUUGUUCUAGCAAAGGCUCAAUAUCUAUUUUGAUUGGACAGGAUUGGGUCACAUGGCCCAAUGGACCUAAUCACAGAGGGUAAUAGAGAGAGAAGUCCUAACUGGCUUGGUUGGAUGGAGUCAGUAUAUUAGUUACUUUUCUGUGGCUGGACUUAAAAAAGACGAAAAACAAACAUGACCAAGGCAACUUAUAGAAGGAAGAGUUUAUUUGGCUUAGGAUACAGAGGGAUGAGUCCAUCAUGGUGGGGAGUCAUGGCAAGAGGCAGCCAGAACAGAAAGCUGAGUAGUUCAAGCAGGCACAGGAAGCAGAGAGACCAACUGGAUGGAAGUGGAAAGGAGGCUCAUGAACUCUCAAAGCCUGCCCCCAGUGACCUGCUUCCUCCAGCAAGAUGGCACCGCCUAAUCUUCCACAAGCAGUUCCCCCAAGGCAGAGCCACCAACUGGGGCUGAGUAUUCAAAUAUUUGAAGCAUAUGGGGGACACUUACUCAACCACCACAGCCAGCUUCUUCAGAACAUUGGGAAUCAAGACAGAGAGUGUUGGGGAGAGGAAAAGGGGUGUGGAGGUAUAACUCCUCCCAUACCAAGGGGGCAAGACUAAGAUGAGGUGGGUGAGGAGCGGAGGGCACAUUUAAAGAUACACACACACACACAUACACAUACACACACACACACACACACACACACACACACACACACACACACUUAUGGCCAUGAUCCAAUCCUGACCUUUUUAAAUUAAAGCAUUUUUAUUUAUUAUUUAUUUACGUGGGUGUGUAUGUGUGUGUGUGUGUCUGUCUGUCUGUCUGCCUGUGUAUGCAUACACAUGUGGCACAGGACAUGUAUGCAGGUUAGAAGACAACUUGCAAGAGUCGGUUCUCUCUUUCUACCAUGCGGGACCUGGGAAUUGCACCCAGGUCAUCAGACUUGGUGACAAGUGCUUUUCACCCAGUAAGCCAUCUCACCAGCUCGACCCCAGGCUUCUGCAACCCUGAAAGUGAACUUCUCCUCCGUGUGCCCUAGGCACACUAUUUGCUUCACCAUAGCGCCAGCCCUGACUGCACAGCAGAUUACCCAUGACUUGGUGGCUUGAAACAAUAAAUUUUUCUUCUGUGGAAGUUUCUCUAAGGCCAGAAAUUUGAGUGAUUUAACGGGGGGAAAUGAAAGGGCUGGCUUGGGGGUCUGUUGUGAGGUACAGUCCAGAUGUCAGCAGGGGCUUCAGUCAUCUGAAGGCGGAAGGUCUGGGUCCUGCCCCUCCCUCCUGGAAUGGCUGCUGAUAUGUCUCAUGACAUAGUGACUGGCACACCCAGAGCAAGUGAUCCAAGAGAGAGAAAGGAACGAGCUACACUGCCUUUUAUGACCUCCUCUUAGAAGUCACACACUUCCACUCUUCUUUCUAUCCAUUAGGAGUGAGUCACUAAGUGCAGCCCAGACUCAGGAGGAGUGCUGUUAGCUACUACCUUCUGCAAGAAGUGUCAAAGAGUUUGUAGACAUCUUUAAAGUAUCACAGGAGGAAAUUGAUAAAUGGGUGGGUCACUGAAAACACCUCAGGUAACAGGACAUGACACAUGCUUGUGUGCAUAUGUAUGUGGGGGGGGGGUGUCACAGUGCGCAUGUGGAAGUCAGAGGACGACUUAUGGGAACUGAUUCUUUCCUUCCAUCUUGUGGGUCCCAGGAA